rnacentral:rRNA from 1 species
GACGAACGCUGGCGGCGUGCCUAACACAUGCAAGUCGAACGGGGCAGAGAGCUUCGGUUUUCUGCUUAGUGGCGAACGGGUGAGUAACGCGUGAGGAACCUGCCUUUCAGUGGGGGACAACAGUUGGAAACGACUGCUAAUACCGCAUAACGUCAUUUUCUGGCAUCGGAGAAUGACCAAAGCUUAAUGUGCUGAAAGAUGGCCUCGCGUCUGAUUAGAUAGUUGGUGGGGUAACGGCCUACCAAGUCGACGAUCAGUAGCCGGACUGAGAGGUUGACCGGCCACAUUGGGACUGAGAUACGGCCCAGACUCCUACGGGAGGCAGCAGUGGGGAAUAUUGGGCAAUGGACGCAAGUCUGACCCAGCAACGCCGCGUGAAGGAAGAAGGCUUUCGGGUUGUAAACUUCUUUUGUCAGGGAAGAGCAGAAGACGGUACCUGACGAAUAAGCCACGGCUAACUACGUG